CAGUGCGAAGCCUGCAGAAAUUUAAAAAUCGAUAAAUCGAAGUAUAAAAAGAAACUAUUAACCCUUUAAUAAUUUAAAUUUAAUAAUUAACCCUUUAAACUAUUAACCCAUUGAAUUCUCCCGCGAUUCUUAUAUAUGCGCCAAGGCCACUGAGCCACGAAGAGAUAGCGGGUCAAAGUGCAGGCCCGAAAUUAAUAAGCAAAUAGUGGGGAGAGCUUAGGAGUGAGAGAGAAAGUUGUAUCAGCAUUCAGCAUCAAUGAUCCACAAGGAAAAAAAUUUUUUGCCAUAGUUCCAGCAAACUUACAAUAUUAAUAAAGUAAAGCAUUUAAAUAGUGAUUAGUGAGAACGUUUAUCCAGUUCAGAUAAAUUUUUUAAUGUGAAAUAGGUAUUUUGCUAUUUUACUUUUCUUAAAGAAAUUGAAUAUUUAAUGUUAUAGUUAAAUAUUUACUUUUUUUAUAAAGUAUAUAUUUACUGUUACUUAUCGGGUGCUGGUGAUAAAUUUCGAGCACACUGGGAUAAAGAAUUUCGAACUUUUAGAAUUAUUAAUGAUACGGAAAUAAUUUUCGACGAUUCAAAUGAAUCUGAUAAAACGUCAAAUAAUAAUGAAAUAAGUGUCAACGAAGUCGAGGGAAAGGAAGUUCCAGAAUCUCAAAUCGAACAGGAAUUAGAGGUCAGGACUCUUUUAAAAAAUUCGAUUGAAGGCAGAGUGGUUUUAAACGUAAUUCAUUACUGACAAACGAGGACAGGAAUCAAAUAGCUGAUAUUAUUUUACGAAACUAACUCAACGAAGAAAAUCAAUUUUGAUGAAAAUCUAGAUAAAGAAACUGAAGCUGAUGAGUGGUUGAAAAAGAAUUUAUCGCCAUGAACAGAAGAUUUUAACGUAAAAACCUAGAAUUUUAUAAGAUGUUUCUAUCACAACAAUUACAUUUUCAAACUACAUUUGUUUAAGUCAACCGUUAGGAUAUGAACUAAUCGAUUUAGACUUCAAUGAUAUUUAUACCGACAAAAAAGAUGCUCUUAAUUCAGAAUGGGAUUCUUAUGAGAAGGAAGUUAUGGAGAUUGCUAAAACCCGAAAAUUUAAAGAAAUGAACAGUCUUUUCGAUGAAUACAAUUUAAAAGGAGAUUCUUGUGCUUCUGUUCCGAUCGUUCUAAGGAUAUAACCACUUUUAAUGCCUCCUCAGGUAGUAAAAGGUUUUAAAAGUAAACAGAUGUGGAAACUUAGUAGACCAGUGUCUCAAAAUGGAUUCGUAGCACACACAACGAAUGUAUCCGAAUUAUUAGAGUUGUUGGAAAAUCGUCGAAAAGUCUUGAACAAGCGUAAAUUAACAGAGCAACCUUUGCUGAUUAUGGCUGGAGAAAAUCUCUUAAAUAUUCAUAAAAAUUAUGUUUGCGUAGACGAAAUAGAGUGCAGUUCAAAAUGAUAGAAAAAAUGGGUGUCUUCAUUCGACCCAUAGAAAAAACUAUAUAGGCAGUACUCUAUGGCAAGAGUUAAUAAAAUAUUAUGAUGAUGAUCCUUGUUUUUGUUUUUGAUGACUUCGGAACUGGAAAUCCAUUGAGUGCACAUGCUGAAUUUUAUAAAAUUGGUGCAACAUAUUGAUGAUCGCAAAGUUUGCGGAAAUGAACACACCUUUUUCAGUCUAAUUGAUGAAUUCAAAUUCUUGGAAACUGAAGGAAGUUUUAAAUUUGCCUCAACCCGUAGAUUCUGUAAAUUAUCGAAAGAGGAAAGGAAAUAUUCUGCUAAAGAAGAUCCAAAAAUUUUGCGAACAGAAGAAUCAUAUAUGACUGACUGUUUGCUACAUGAUGUUUCCCAAACUGGAAUAAAGGAAGAAUGUGUCUUCCAUAAGUUGAAAACGUUUCACAUUACAAAAAAUAUUGUAGUGGACAUAAUGCACGAUAUCUUCGAAGGGAUUUGCGAUUUAUCUAUUCAAAAGGAUUGCUCACAUCUAUUGGAUUUUUUAGUAGAACAGCAUAAUACUUUAUACGUUAAAUUAUUCAAAAAAAACCUUGAAAUUACAGUAUUAAUUAUUAGUCAAAAAAGUCAUACUAUAAGAUUCUUAAGGUUGUGAUUAAAGUUAAGAAAUUGUUUAAUUUGUUCUGAUGUUUUAAAUAAAAAAUGUUGUUUUA